rnacentral:rRNA from 1 species
AUUGAACGCUGGCGGCAGGCCUAACACAUGCAAGUCGAACGAGUGGCGGACGGGUGAGUAAUGUCUGGGAAACUGCCCGAUGGAGGGGGGUAACUACUGGAAACGGUAGCUAAUACCGCAUACCCUCGGAUGUGCCCAGAUGGGAUUAGCUGGUAGGUGAGGUAACGGAUCACCUAGGCGACGAUCCCUAGAUGGUCUGAGAGGAUGACCAGCCACACUGGAACUGAGACAAGGUCCAGACUCCUAGGUGAGGCAGCAGUGGGGAAUAGUGCACAAUGGGCGCAAGCCUGAUGCAGCCAGGCCGAGUGUAUGAAGAAGGCCUUCGGGUUGUAAAGUACGUUCAGCGGGGAGGCGUUACUCGCAGAAGAAGCACCGGCUAACUCCGUGCCAGCCGCCGCGGUAAUUC